AACGAACGCUGGCGGCAUGCCUAACACAUGCAAGUCGAACGAGACCUUCGGGUCUAGUGGCGCACGGGUGCGUAACGCGUGGGAACCUGCCCUUAGGUUCGGAAUAACUCCCCGAAAGGGGUGCUAAUACCGGAUAAUGUCUUCGGACCAAAGAUUUAUCGCCUUUGGAUGGGCCCGCGUUGGAUUAGCUAGUUGGUAGGGUAAAAGCCUACCAAGGCGACGAUCCAUAGCUGGUCUGAGAGGAUGAUCAGCCACACUGGGACUGAGACACGGCCCAGACUCCUACGGGAGGCAGCAGUGGGGAAUAUUGGAAAAGGGGCGAAAGCCUGAUCCAGCAAUGCCGCGUGAGUGAUGAAGGCCUUAGGGUUGUAAAGCUCUUUUACCCGGGAUGAUAAUGACAGUACCGGGAGAAUAAGCUCCGGCUAACUCCGUG
rnacentral:rRNA from 1 species